rnacentral:rRNA from 1 species
UCUGGUAUUGAUUGGUGCUUGCAUCAUGAUUUACAUUUGAGUGAGUGGCGAACUGGUGAGUAACACGUGGGAAACCUGCCCAGAAGCGGGGGAUAACACCUGGAAACAGAUGCUAAUACCGCAUAACAACUUGGACCGCAUGGUCCGAGUUUGAAAGAUGGCUUCGGCUAUCACUUUUGGAUGGUCCCGCGGCGUAUUAGCUAGAUGGUGGGGUAACGGCUCACCAUGGCAAUGAUAC